AUUGAACGCUGGCGGCAGGCCUAACACAUGCAAGUCGAACGAGUGGCGGACGGGUGAGUAAUGUCUGGGAAACUGCCUGAUGGAGGGGGAUAAAUACUGGAAACGGUAGCUAAUAACGCAUACCAUCAGAGGUGCCCAGAUGGGAUUAGCUAGUUGGUGGGGUAACGGCUAACCAAGUCGACGAUCCCUAGCUGGUCUGAGAGGAUGACCGGCCACACUGGAACGGAGCCACGGUCCAGACUCCUACGGGAGGCAGCAGGGGGGAAUAUUGCACAAUGGGCGCAAGCCUGAUGCAGCCAUGCCGCGUGUAUGAAGAGGGCCUUCGGGUUGUAAAGUACUUUCAGCGGGGAGGCGUUACUCGCAGAAGAAGCACCGGCUAACUCCGUGCCAGCAGCCGCGGUAAUUC
rnacentral:rRNA from 1 species